CUCUCUCUUCCCCAGAAGCGAAGCAGUUCCAGCCGCGAGCUCCCCCACACAGGAGCCUCCUAUGUCAGGGCCUCCCAGCGCACCUCAGGGCGCACUGGCUGGGCCCCGUAGUCCAGCAGUGCGGCGAAGAGGACCUCGGGCUCCCAGUUGGGGGCGUCCUGGACGGCCUGCAGCGCACAAUCCAUGGGCGUGUGGCCCGCCCCAUUGGGGACCUCAGCGCGGGCCCCGUGGCGCAGCAGCAGCUCGGCCAGGCCCCCGCAGCCGUUGGCACAAGCGUUGUGCAGCGGCGUGUGGCGCUUGCGCCCGGCCGCCCGGGCAUCAGCUCCAGCCUCCAGAAGCCGGCGCGCCGCAGCCUGGUGCCGCCUGCAGCUACCUGGGCCCUCGGCCCCAGCGCACGCCGCGUUCAGCGCAGUCUCGCCCUGGCUGGUGCGCAGGCCCACGUGGGCGCCAUGCUCCAGGUACAGAGCCACAUGUUGCUCCAGGCCGCGCGCCGCCGCCACGUGCAGGGGCGUCUCCUGGCUCUCGCCUGCUGCCAGGUUCACCGUCGCUCCCGCUUCCAGCAGCAACUUGGCGCACCUGGGGACAAGAGGGCGAGGUCCCGAGGAAAAUCCUGAAGGCCUGGGACCCCUUCAGCUUGCUGUGACUCUCCCUUCCCUUUCCACCCCUCUCACCUUGAGGUCCUACCUGGUGUCCUCCAUGAGAGUCAACACAAGCCCCGCUACAGACAACAGAACUGGAAGGUCCUGAGAGCUACCAGAAGCAUCUUCAGUUUUCAUAUGAAAAACUUAAGCCCAGGAGUGAUUUGUGCAGCCAAGGACACACAGCAAGUUAGUGGCUGCACCAGAAAUAGUACUCACUGCCUCAGACAGUCCCUCCCACAGUCUACUCUGUCUCCACCCCAAGGUCUGGUUCUGAAUCAUUCAGUCGUCAGUUGUCUCCUAACUUUUUUUUUUUUUUUUUUUUUGGAGACAGGGUCUCUCUCUGUGGCCUAGGCUGAAGUGCAGUGGUGUGAUUACAGCUCAUGUAGCCUGGACCUCCCAAGCUCAAGCAAUCCUCCUGCCUCUGCCUCCCGAGUAGCUGGGACCACAGGUGGGCAGCACCACACCUGGCUAAUUUUUUAAAUUAUUUUUUAUAGAGACAGGGUCUUACCAUUUGCCCCAGCUGGUUUCAAACUCAUGACCUCAAGCAAGCCUCCUGCCUUGGCCUCCCAAAGUGCGGGGAUUACAGGUGUGAGCCACCACACCGGGCCUUAUCUCCUAACAUUUUGAUAGCACAAAAUUUUGAAAACCCACUUCUGUGUAUGUUAUGAAGCACAGAAAAUUAAAAAGUAUGCACC
rnacentral:antisense_RNA from 1 species